rnacentral:rRNA from 1 species
AGUAGCGGUGAAAUGCGUAGAUAUCUGGAGGAAUACCAAAGGCGAAGGCAGUCCCCUGGUCCGAUACUGACACUGAGGUACGAAAGCGUGGGGAGCAAACAGGAUUAGAUACCCUGGUAGUCCACGCCCUAAACGAUGUCGAUUAGCCAUUGGAAGGACCCCUUUUCCUUUCAGUGACGUAGCUAACGCGUUAAAUCGACCGCCUGGGAAGUACGACCGCAAGGUUAAAACUCAAAGGAAUUGACGGGGACCUGAACAAGCGGUGAAUGAUGUGGAUUAAUUCGAUGCUACGCGAAGAACCUUACCUACCUUUGACAUGGCCAAAGUUCUACCGAGAGGCGGAAGGACUCGUAAGAGGAUUGGCGCACAGGUGCUGCAUGGUUGUCGUCAGUUCGUGUCGUGAGAUGUUGGGUUCAGUCCCGCAACGAACGCAACCCUUAUCUUUAAUUGCUCCUAUUUUAACAGGCACUUUAAAGAAACUGCCAAUGAUAAGUUGGAGGAAGGUGGGGAUCACGUCAAGUCCGCAUGGCCUUUAUAGGUAGGGCUUCACACGUCAUACAAUGGUUAGAACAAAGAGCUGCAAAUUCGUAAGAAGGAGCCAAUCUCACAAACCUAACCUCAGUUCGAAUUGCGGUCUGCAACUCGAGCGCAUGAAGCCGGAAUCGCUAGUAAUCGUGGAUCAGAAUGCCA